rnacentral:rRNA from 1 species
GAUGAACGCUGGCGGCGUGCCUAAUACAUGCAAGUCGAGCGAACGGACGAGAAGCUUGCUUCUCUGAUGUUAGCGGCGGACGGGUGAGUAACACGUGGAUAACCUACCUAUAAGACUGGGAUAACUUCGGGAAACCGGAGCUAAUACCGGAUAAUAUUUUGAACCGCAUGGUUCAAAAGUGAAAGACGGUCUUGCUGUCACUUAUAGAUGGAUCCGCGCUGCAUUAGCUAGUUGGUAAGGUAACGGCUUACCAAGGCAACGAUGCAUAGCCGACCUGAGAGGGUGAUCGGCCACACUGGAACUGAGACACGGUCCAGACUCCUACGGGAGGCAGCAGUAGGGAAUCUUCCGCAAAGGGCGAAAGCCUGACGGAGCAACGCCGCGUGAGUGAUGAAGGUCUUCGGAUCGUAAAACUCUGUUAUUAGGGAAGAACAUACGUGUAAGUAACUGUGCACAUCUUGACGGUACCUAAUCAGAAAGCCACGGCUAACUACGUG